rnacentral:rRNA from 1 species
CAGAGGUCUCGAGCGUUAGGCGGAAUCACUGGGCUUAAAGCGUGUGUAGGUGGAUGCCUAAGUACCUUGUGAAAUCCCACAGCUUAACUGUGGAACUGCUUGGUAUACUGGGUGUCUUGAGCCACUCAGGGGCGAGCGGAACAAAUGGUGGAGCGGUGAAAUGCGUAGAUAUCAUUUGGAACGCCAAUGGUGAAAACAGCUCGCUGGGGGUGUGCUGACACUGAGACACGAAAGCCAGGGGAGCGAACGGGAUUAGAUACCCCGGUAGUCCUGGCCGUAAACGAUGUCGACUAGAUCGUAGUGGCUCUGACGCCAUUACGGUCGAAGCAAAAGUGCUAAGUCGACCGCCUGGGAAGUACGGUCGCAAGGCUA